rnacentral:rRNA from 1 species
GCGGAAGGCCCUUCGGGGUACUCGAGCGGCGAACGGGUGAGUAACACGUGAGCAACCUGCCCCUGACUCUGGGAUAAGCCCGGGAAACUGGGUCUAAUACCGGAUACGACCGCCUCCGGCAUCGGAUGGUGGUGGAAAGUUUUUCGGUCGGGGAUGGGCUCGCGGCCUAUCAGCUUGUUGGUGGGGUAGUGGCCUACCAAGGCGACGACGGGUAGCCGGCCUGAGAGGGCGACCGGCCACACUGGGACUGAGACACGGCCCAGACUCCUACGGGAGGCAGCAGUGGGGAAUAUUGCGCAAUGGGCGGAAGCCUGACGCAGCGACGCCGCGUGGGGGAUGACGGCCUUCGGGUUGUAAACCUCUUUCAGCAGGGACGAAAUUGACGUGUACCUGCAGAAGAAGCGCCGGCUAACUACGUGCCAGCAGCCGCGGUAAUACGUAGGGCGCAAGCGUUGUCCGGAAUUAUUGGGCGUAAAGAGCUCGUAGGUGGCUGGUCGCGUCUGCCGUGAAAGCCCGCAGCUUAACUGCGGGUCUGCGGUGGAUACGGGCCGGCUAGAGGUAGGUAGGGGCAAGUGGAAUUCCUGGUGUAGCGGUGAAAUGCGCAGAUAUCAGGAGGAACACCGGUGGCGAAGGCGGCUUGCUGGGCCUUACCUGACGCUGAGGAGCGAAAGCGUGGGGAGCGAACAGGAUUAGAUACCCUGGUAGUCCACGCUGUAAACGUUGGGCGCUAGGUGUGGGGAUCUUCCACGAUCUCCGUGCCGGAGCUAACGCAUUAAGCGCCCCGCCUGGGGAGUAC